rnacentral:tRNA from 1 species
AGUCCUAUAUUCAAGCAUGAUUUUAAAUUGCAAAUUUAAAGGUAAGAUAUUCUUUAGGGCUU